rnacentral:rRNA from 1 species
GUCCUCAGCCAUACCACCCUGGAUGUCUCCGAUCUCUUCUGAUCCUGGAAGUUAAACAGGGUUGGUACUUGGGUGAGAGAA